CCUACGGGAGGCAGCAGUGGGGAAUUUUGGACAAUGGACGCAAGUCUGAUCCAGCCAUGCCGCGUGCGGGAAGAAGGCCUUCGGGUUGUAAACCGCUUUUGUCAGGGAAGAAAAGGUUCUGGUUAAUACCUGGGACUCAUGACGGUACCUGAAGAAUAAGCACCGGCUAACUACGUGCCAGCAGCCGCGGUAAUACGUAGGGUGCAAGCGUUAAUCGGAAUUACUGGGCGUAAAGCGUGCGCAGGCGGUUAUGCAAGACAGAGGUGAAAUCCCCGGGCUCAACCUGGGAACUGCCUUUGUGACUGCAUAGCUAGAGUACGGUAGAGGGGGAUGGAAUUCCGCGUGUAGCAGUGAAAUGCGUAGAUAUGCGGAGGAACACCGAUGGCGAAGGCAAUCCCCUGGACCUGUACUGACGCUCAUGCACGAAAGCGUGGGGAGCAAACAGGAUUAGAUACCCUGGUAGUCCACGCCCUAAAACGAUGUCAACUGGUUGUUGGGAGGGUUUCUUCUCAGUAACGUAGCUAACGCGUGAAGUUGACCGCCUGGGGAGUACGGCCGCAAGGUUGAAACUUCAAAGGAAAUUGACGGCGNGNGAGNGCGAGACGACACGAGGAGGAGG
rnacentral:rRNA from 1 species